CUGGGUCCAAGAAGAAGUUAACUAAAAGAACUUACAAGCACGUCGACACGGCGUCGCAAAUCAUAAUAUCAAGGGAAAUAUUAUCAUAUUACUUGCAGCAAAACCAGUUUAUGAGAGUGAAAAAGGCGGAGGCAAAACUUUGAAGAGGUUUGCGGGAGUUCUGAAGAAAUGCAGUCAUGAGGGUUCAUCUCUGAAACCCUAUUACCCUUCUGAGUGUGUUUCCCUGUCAUGUCUGACAACGGAGAGCUGGAGGACAAACCCCCUGCCCCUCCAGUCAGAAUGAGCAGG